rnacentral:rRNA from 1 species
AGUGAGCGCUGGCGGUAGGCCUAACACAUGCAAGUCGAACGGCAGCACAGUAAGAGCUUGCUCUUACGGGUGGCGAGUGGCGGACGGGUGAGGAAUACAUCGGAAUCUACUUUUUCGUGGGGGAUAACGUAGGGAAACUUACGCUAAUACCGCAUACGACCUACGGGUGAAAGCAGGGGAUCUUCGGACCUUGCGCGAUUGAAUGAGCCGAUGUCGGAUUAGCUAGUUGGCGGGGUAAAGGCCCACCAAGGCGACGAUCCGUAGCUGGUCUGAGAGGAUGAUCAGCCACACUGGAACUGAGACACGGUCCAGACUCCUACGGGAGGCAGCAGUGGGGAAUAUUGGACAAUGGGCGAAAGCCUGAUCCAGCCAUACCGCGUGGGUGAAGAAGGCCUUCGGGUUGUAAAGCCCUUUUGUUGGGAAAGAAAAGCAGCAGGUUAAUACCCCGAUGUUCUGACGGUACCCAAAGAAUAAGCACCGGCUAACUUCGUG